rnacentral:rRNA from 1 species
UACGGGGGGGGCAAGCGUUGUUCGGAAUUACUGGGCGUAAAGGGCGCGUAGGCGGUCUUGUAAGUCCUGUGUGAAAUCCCUCGGCUUAACUGAGGAACUGCACGGGAUACUGCGAGACUUGAGAUCGGGAGAGGGAAGCGGAAUUCACGGUGUAGCAGUGAAAUGCGUAGAUAUCGUGAGGAACACCAGAGGCGAAGGCGACUUCCUGGACAAUUGCUGACGCUCAGGCACGAAAGCGUGGGGAGCAAAAGGG